GGAUGUGAGAUGGAUCUGGCUGUGAGAGAUCUGUCAUCCUAUGAGGAUCAGGGUUGAUUCUACUGAUCUGGCUGGCUAGGUGGGUAUCCCUAACUCAUUGCCCCACGUGUGUCUCUUGAAGCUCUGCAUUCCCUGACUCGUGUCUUUGGGUAUACAAGUAGCUGCGUUCCCCUGCUAGAACCUCCAGACCAGCUCUCAAAGUCCUUAUGUAGGAGAAUGUAGGGUAGUCAAGCUUCCAAGACUCCAGACACAUCCAUAUGGGGCACUGCAUGUGGCAGUCUGCCUGCUAA
rnacentral:snRNA from 1 species